UCGAGUAACUGAAUGGCAUUUCUCCAAGAGGAACUAAAGGAAUAAAGAAAAAUGGGGAUAUACAUAAUAUGUAUGUCUGCACAAAUAGAAAAACCCAAGGCUUUAAUCCUUCCCCUGCUUUAUGCCUCUGGGACGGAACACAAAGCUGGCCUGCUGCAUGUGCCUGGAGCCUUGUUUGUUACUCUGCUGAGGAGGCAGCUGUCUCUGAAAUCUGAAAGAACAUCCAAUCAUUUCUUAAAGGGUUAAACAAAAUCCCUAAAGAAAUGCAGCUCACCAGUCUUUCAGUUUUAACUCUAUGUACUUUCCUCUUCUCAAAUUUCACUUUGUCCUACCAAAAAGAGAAGCAUCCAUUUUUUAGCAGAACAAACUCUAUAAACUCUUCCACACUACCAAACCAGUUGAAAGAUCCCUUUUCCUUUCACAAACUUAAGUGGUUUUGCAUAGCUUCUUAGAUAAUAAAAUUCUGGGAAUACUUCACACAUUCAGGCACUUCUACUGCUAACAUAAACAAAAACUAAAUGCAAGAUUGACGUUGUUCUAAACUGCAAAAUAUUUGAAGAUAAAAAUCCCCUCAGCUGGCUGCUUUCCUCACUCUAGCCCUGUAUCCAUGCCAAGUGUAACUGUUGCUAUGGCUGCUUCAUCAACUCAUUAAAACUAACAGUUCACUCCUCUCCAACCACCCUCCCUGAAAGGAAAGGGAUGUGGGCUCCCUAAAUCAAAGCCAGACAAGCCUGUGUUCCUUUACAGAACCACUUAAAAGGAACUUCUACCUGAAGAGUCCCUGACUGUCAGAGGAAAAGGCCUGAACCUGUUUGGGAGUUCUUGGUCUUUUAGAAGUGAAGCUUAUUCUGAAAUGCCAGGAUAGGGGUGGAUCCAAGGAGACACUAACUGGCUUGUGUCUGGCUGAAUAACAAACACGGCUACUCCUGAAAUACAAAGUACAGAGAUACAAUUGCUCCAGGCUAGAGCUGUGCUUACAGGAUCUUGCCCCCUGAACUGGGCCCGGAUCUGCCUGCUGGGCAAGAGGACUCGCUGUGUGCUCUGGUUCUCUGGCCAACAACACUGGAGAUUUAAAAGGAACAGUGAUCAAUUUACAGCAGAUUCAUGUGAGGUGAGGGAAAAAGCCACUACUGUUUAUGUGACCUGUUCUGCUCUAGACUCACACUCUUGUCCCUUCUCACAUUCAUUCAAAUCAUUUGAUGUAGGAGCUGCACCACAGCUAUUUAUCAGCUUGCAAGUGUCCACCUCCUCCCAAAUUUAGGGGAAUCCUUGUGACAGCAGUGGUGCCCCACAGCCCAAGCCCCUGCACAGACCCCAGACCAGGACAAGGCUGGAGCUGAGCAGCACUUGAAGCGAACACUGCUUAUUUAUUCAUCAAGCACAGUAGAUAAAUGGAGGUUGCUCAGGUACCUGUGAGCACAAGCCCAUCACCCCUCAUGGUGCUGCACCAGCUCCCUGGGAUUCACUUCUGAGAAUAAGCAUGAAUUAGCCAUAGACUCUUUUUAAAUCAGCCUCUGCAGCUGCUUGCCUGGAUUGCAACAUAAGCCAUGAUAAUUCAUGGUUCAGAUGUGUUCUAAAUUUUUACAGUUCAGGAGUGUGCUGAAAUAAUCUAAUUGUUUGGAUUUACACACUGUUCUGGGAAAAAAUCAUUCCAAGUCCAAAUAGCAUUCAGAAAGAAGCUUUCAUCUGCUGAAAAAGCAGAUUAAAAAAUUUUUGUUCUGAACUUAACCUCUGCCUUUUCCCACACCACCAUAACGUUUCUUCCUGCACUGUUCCCCAAGAAACAGAACUGCAGAGGAAUUAGGAAGAUGUUUUUACUUUUAGGAACGGAUCAGGUGAUUUGGAACACCCCUCCCAGGGGGAGAGACUGGAGCUAGGGUUGUUAAGCCUGUGUAAGGUUCUACAAGAGAGCUGGAGAGGGACUUCUGACAAGGGCAGGUCUUGACAGGACAAGGGAGAAUGGCUUCAGAGUUUAGAUGAGAGAAAAGGAAGAAAUUCUUGACUAUGAAGAUGGUAGACACUGAACAGGUUGCCAGAGAACCUGUGGCUGCUGCCCUAUCCCUGCUCAAGGCCAGGCUUAAUAAAACUUUGAGCAAGCUGGUCUCUUGGGAGGUGUCCCUGCACAACACAGGGGGAUUGGAACUAGAUGGUGUUCCAGGAUUCAGUGAUCAGAACACAUUCCCAGAAUUCUCAGAUUUCAUACCUAAGCACCACUGCAGCUUGGACAGAUGGUACUACUGCUCUGAUCAGUGACAAAUCAGCAGCUGUCCAACUGUGACACUCUCUGGGAGCAGGUGAGAAUUCACCAUGACAGGUCCUUCUCAAAACCCACACCUGACAGGGUAAGGCUUCCUGAAUAGGAACUGCAACCUAAUUCAGAAUUUUAGAGGAUCAACACUGUUGCUGUAAGUGGUAGGAAAUGUGUAAUAUGAAGUUUCUCCACUGCUCUUGGCAGUAUAAUUAUACCCAACACUUGACAAAAAUAAUAUUAAUAAAAGCCAUUAUCAGUUACAGUGGUUUAAUUUUGACUGUGACUUUACUAUGUAGAAUUGAGCACUCUGUUUACAUUUUAAGUACAAUGCCACUCAUAGUCAACAGGAACACAGAAGUGAGACCAACCCAACAGCCAUGCCCCCUGGUUCCAGAUUAGCCACAAGUUUUGCAUUUGAACACUUCAAAACUUCAGCAGCAGCAGUAAAGAUCAUGAAGAUGCUGCACCUCUCCUCAUCUAUGGAGAGACCACUUUGAUCUGCACACUGCAGCAAGCACCAUUUUUACACCAGUUUGAAGAACCCAGACCUGUUCACAUUGCAUGAGGUUUUUCCAAGCCAUGUGAUGGUUAAUUCCACCUUUUGGUGGCACCUUCUACUGUUUAUGUUCUAUUCUGCAUUUUUAGUCAUUCUUUCUACAGUUUUCUCUACCAGAGUUCCUAACUCAGUGGUCAGUUAGCAACAAGCCAAGCAGCACAGCCUCCAGGCACAGGUACAUAAGGCUGUAGUAAGGACACGUUAGACUGGGCAAGAAUACAAGGCUUAGUUACUGUGUCAAGGAGCCCACACCUGCCAGCUCAGCCUUCUGCAAGUUGUGGCAGAAAAGCUUAGCUGCAGGUUCGGGAUCUAUUCCCAAGUUUUUACUUGCACAUCCUUCUACCUUUUCCUCUCACCUCUGGUAUAACUUGAGUUGGAAACCACUCUUUCCUGACUUGUGGUUCAUCCCCAUCUUCCCCCUGCAGUGCACAGGGGCCAAGUGGCUCACAUGCUUCACAGAGACUACCAGAUACACAAGAAGUAUUAUAGCACCACACACCACUAAACCAACCAGCAGUAACAGCAAAGUUUAAGGAUAAACUGACAAAAAUUGGAGAAACAACACUAUCAGUGAAACAAUGGAAAACUUCACAGCGCCUUAUUAUGCUUAAAGAAUUGCAUUUUUAACAGAAUUUCAAAUUAGAUCAAAUGAAUCCUGUAACUGUACUUGUAUUUGUCCAUCCUGUUGAAAUUGAGUACUCAACUGCAGAACAUUAGGCCUAUAGCACACACAGACUGAGCCUGCACAGGGAGUUGGAGUAAGGAGUGAAGUCUGCACCCCUGUAGUUCUAGCAGUGACUACAUCCCUCUACAGAGAGGGAAGAGCCUUGAGUUUCAGAGGAACAAUACACCAUUAAAUGUCUUGGGAAGCCCCAGGCUGUCAGUGCUCACCACUCCCACCCAGGAGGUGCAGUUCCAUCACACACAGCCAGUUCUCAACCUCAAACCACUGAAGUGCUGAACACUCCUCUGCAGUUGGAGCAUUUCUGUCUCUUAACUGCAGCCCACACCAGUAUCCUGCUUCUCCUCUAAACUGCUGAAUGCACCCCAUUUCUGAAACACAGAGAUGGUGCCAUGGCGUUCUGCCAGCAACUCAAGCUCAAUACCCUUUAUGCUUCUAGAGCACAGUACCUGCAUUUCCCAGGGCAGCAGCAAAACUCCCUGACAGACCAUGGCUCAACAACUCAGGCCAGAGCUGUGACUGAAGCCAGGGAGCCCUCCAAAGAAAACCCUGACCUGCUUUUCCAGCUGCAGCACUGCAAGAUGUUCCAGGCCAACUGCAACUCUCCCUUUCCUCAAAGCAAGCCCAGUUAUCAGCUCUGUUCCUUUUCUUGGGCUCCACUUCUGCACCUCCUGUGAUGCACAAGUUUAUAUGCUACAGCACUGUCAGCACUGGCAAACAAAGCUCCAGUCCAGGAGCCAUUACCCUUUUCCAUCUUUCAACAGGUUAUGUCUUGAGUAUCAGCAAAGACAAAAAAACUCACUGGGGACAAAGUUCUAGGAAGUAAGGUAUUUUGAGUAUUUAAUAGAUGACAUUUCAAGCCUGUACAAUGCAACAUCAUUCAACUCUUUUGUAGAGAUUGUUUUUGCCAAUUUGAUUUGAGAAACAGGCAGCUAAUAGACAGUGCCACUUGAUUCAGAAACAUGCAUAUGUGGCCUGGGGGAAGCUCAAAGCAUUACCAAGUCAAAAGCACAUACUCACUGAUAAAGCAUACAUUGGACCACAAGGCAAACCCCUACCACUUCUUCAGCAAGAAUUCCAUCAUUUUCCUCCUAACACAACACAUCUGUAGUGUCUCAUCUUGUCUGUGACCUUACUUAGAAUUCAUAUGCAUAUCCAGACAAGGAGUGUAAAAAUAAUAUCAGGAUGGUUGCAACCAAAGGCAAUUCAUUUGAUGUUUCCUUUCCUAAGUGAAGAAAUCAUCAGCCAAAGCUUUUCUACUGGGAGACAUUCAGAAACAAGUCAAGUAUCACAAUGUUUAUUGAUAGAUACAAGUAUAUAAAAUCAGGGCAUGAACAUGUCUUGAUAAAUUAAGUAGACUUAAUUUCAGUACUGUAAGAGGGACCAAUUCAAAUUUCUCACCAUGUCAUGUUUCACACCCACAAAAACCUCUUCCAAAGGGCAUUAAACCAUCUCUUCAGCCGAUCAGUUUUUUGUGCAAGUAAACUGUUCCUUUUAAAAAAAAAGACUUGUGCACUUGCCCAGGCUCAAGGAUAUUAAAACCUAGCACAUAAAGCCCAUUACUA